GCAACGUUAGAAAAAGUAAUAUAUAUAAUAGAAACGGUAUGACUUUGAAGAAGACAAUCAAAGCGCGAGCCAGACGAAUAAUUUCCUAAAUUAUAAGUUUAUAUAGGUUUAAAAAUUAUAUUGGCCGAAAGACUGAAAACUGACUAUUUGUUUUAGUCGAUUGGUCACACAACAUUAACAAGUACAUAAAUACCGAGGUAAC